rnacentral:rRNA from 1 species
UACGGAGGAUGCAAGCGUUAUCCGGAAUGAUUGGGCGUAAAGCGUCCGCAGGUGGCUGUGUAAGUCUGCUGUCAAAGAGCGAAGCUCAACUUCGUAAAGGCAGUGGAAACUACACGGCUAGAGUGCGUUCGGGGCAGAGGGAAUUCCUGGUGUAGCGGUGAAAUGCGUAGAGAUCAGGAAGAACACCGGUGGCGAAGGCGCUCUGCUAGGCCGUAACUGACACUGAGGGACGAAAGCUAGGGGAGCGAAAGGG